rnacentral:lncRNA from 1 species
GACGGUCGGGACGUGUCAUGAUUGAGACCAAGGAUUGAGACCGACACACACAAGCUCUCUAAUCUCUCUAAUUCACUGACGCUACCACCAUUACAGCUCACCCACCCGUACCAAGUAGCGACCACGUGGCACCUCUGUGAUCCCGCAUUACCUACACCAGACUCCAAUUAGAUGGGUUGCUGUGGCCAACUAUGAUUCUGUUGAGGAUGAAGAUCAAAUUGUACAGCCACUCCUAGGCAACUUUGGCCGAGUUGAUAUCCUUGUGGGCAAGGCAGGCAUCCUCCAAAACAGAUCCUUUCAACGCACCUCUGACACUGAGACCUGGUACAGCGAGUUCACCUAUAAGGGUCCUUCAGAGUGACCCGAGCAGCCUUCCUUGCCAUGAGAGGAGAAGGUUGGCCGUCUCAUCAUGGCAGUGUCCACAACCAGCAUAUCUGGAAACUUUGGACAGUGCUGUCAAGCUGGGAUUGCUGGGCCUGAGCAACACAGUGUCCAUUGAAGGUCAGAAGUACAUCUACUACAACACCAUUGCUCGUGUCAGUGGUACACACAACAGAGGACAUCCUUCCUCCUGGUGAAAGGCAUUCCUCCCUAGAGGUGACAGACGUGUUUGAUUCAGAGUUCAAGCCAGAAUUUAUGGCGUCUUUAGUCCUGUGGUCAUCACGAGGACUGGGGACACUGGUGGACUCUUCCUGACUGCUAAUGGUUGGUAGGGUAAAUUUGGUGAGUCAACUCAGGACGAAGAUGCCCUACAAUUUUUGUAUAAGAACCAUGAAGACUUGGUCCUCUGCCCACAUUUAGUGUUGUCUACCCAGGCUGUCAUGACAGAUAGGGCCUUGUGGUCCAUUAUUCCUUCUUGGUAUGUGCACCUCACUUGUAAUUGGGCAAGAAGAGGCAUCACCAACUCUUUAAAUAGAUGCCAUGCAGAAUCUGCAGAUUCACCAGUCUUGUGAGUGAUACAUUCUGCCUUGUCCAUGAUGCCUACUCUAUCUCACCACUGUAGAGGCAAAACAGUGGCUCAUGUUGGCUGAACAACUACCCAGGUUUUUGUGCCACCAAUUGGACCAUGCUCAGAAAUGCCCUUAUUAGCUACUGAAGAGGACCAAAGUAGCUUACAUAAAUAAAAUGUAGUCAACAUUACAGCGAAGUGGACCAACAUCCUGUCUGCCUAAGAUGCCCUCCCUAACUCACUAUUGAAGAGGACAAGGAAAGUGGCACCCUCCCUUACUCACUACUGAAGAGGACAAGAAGUGGCACUACAAGAAAAAGUAUUUAAAGUUGCCUAAGUUGAAAGUACUUUUGAAGACUGCAGAGAUUUUGUUACGGAGAAUUUGAUCAAGAUUCUGGAAAGGGAAAGUACUAGGGAACAAGUAAUUUUUAUUUGAUAAAAUUGCUAUAUUAAUAUUAACUCUGGAGAGUUUUUGGAGUAUUUUUGACUUGGUACAGAUUUCUAAGCAUUUUCCCAUUCCAUUUUAGGGCCAUUUUCACCCUCCUGUUUAGUAGAGAAUUAGAUGGGGGAUUCUAGGCAGGCAGCAUGCAGGUCCAAUGCUGGGUCUGAAGGGGGAGCAUCUGCCUAACCCCUUCGUUACCGACCCGUCAACCUUAUGUAAACAAGACGUUUCGCUGCCGAACCAACUGCCCACGCACUCCUCCGCAUCGUCCGUGCGGUAGUCUUCAGCUUCUCACAAACACCCUGUUCACACUAUAUUAUUUAUUUUUAUGUUUUCUAUCAGAGAAACCCCAAAACAUGUCAUUUGAGUAAAAAAAAAUAUGCAGCACAUGUGUUGGUCCAGAGACACAGAGCAGCAAUCACAUCUUUCCCCAUGAAUAACUGAAAACAGUCUAGAUCACUCAUAGCACUAGCUUCAUGAUGUAGAAUAAUACUAGGAUGUACAUCAGGAAAAUCAGUGUUACUUGUAGGUAGAGGGUUAGGUCUGGUGUCAGAGAAUGGGUCUGAAAGAAGUGUGAAAUCUGUUUGUCUACCAGCAGCUGUGGGGGGUGAGGCAGGAGGGCUGCAUGACAGGCCACUGCUGGCGGACAACGUCUCAAUACUCUCGUCGCCGCUGCUAGCAUCACUCUCUACAUCACUGAUAGCUUCAGGAUCAAACAAAGUAUCAUCACCUUCCAUUGAGACAUCAGACCCCUCAAAUUCCCUUUGUUCCACCAUCAUAUAUUCAUCUUCACUGUCAGUUGUAGAGAUUGCCAAUUGCAAAGUAAAUCCGUGCGUGCUACCACAAAAAAAACUUCAGGCAGCACUGAACAGAAGCUAGAGAAUAUCACAUUGUAGCACUCGACAAGCAUGUGUUGCCAUACAUAGGUCAGAAAAUAUGAUGAUUGGUCUUCACAAAUUACGUCAGCACUGACAAUAACUCAUUGGUCAAAGUUUAUGAAGUUUCAAACCGUCCCACGAAUGGCUGCAGCCUUAUGUUUGUAAACACAGACACUCCCCACCACGUGGGUAGAAAUAACCCAGAAACCGAGGCCUUGAGAGCCCUCAAUACACACAGCUUAUAACCAUGGCAUGUGCAUGUCACGGGGAGCACCCUCGGUUCCUGGCGCGUGAACUCAGCCGUGACACGCAUGUGUCACAAAACACACAUCCGGUACUGAAGGGGUUAACCCAAGAGAGCUCAUACUGCACUGAGGUUGAUUCCAAUUGCUUUGAAAUUUUAAUAUGUUGUUUGCUGGUGUAAAAGUAGGCUAUAUGGUCUGUAAAUUUCAUCAAAUUUGAGUGAAUGGUAGAGAAGACUUUUUAUGUAUAAGGGAAAAAUGGGUCGAUGUCAUUAAGGGCUCUUGGAACCUCCACCCCAAGGAUGGUACUGAGGGCCUCAAUCUCGUACUGGAUGGCAAGGGUGAGGUCCUCCUCUGGUGGAGGUAGCUCCACAACUGAUCUAUCUCUCUCCUUUUGAGCCAGCAUUUGGGCUGCCAGAGGAGAAAGUGGUAGCCGAGGCUCAAAGUCCACAGUCCAGAGGCUGGCUUUCUUCCUUGAAUCAGCGGAGGUGGCGCAGCAACAGGCUCCACCAGGAGCAGAGAUGCUGCACUCUUCCUUUUACCUGAAACCCUCAAUUGUACUGUGAGGCAGUACCAGGGUAUGGAUUUGCUCAUUAAUUCCCUGCUUACUCAAGUGAAGCCUUUGAAAGGCUGCCAUUAUGCAAACCUCUUCCAGGUCCCACAGGGCCUUUGAACUAGCGUUCAAACAAGCAGCCUCAGCACCCUGGUAAAUUUCCGUGUGCGCAGCUUGCUAAUGAACCUUCCGUCCCCCGUAGCAAGCAAAGGGAACAGGGCAGGUUGGUGAACCCAGUGCCAUACUGGGAGCAGCUGCUCUCUCCAUCAUAUUGGACAGAGGAAGAUAAACAUAAGGCCUUUGCUCAUCAACUGCUAACCUUUGCCUGCCAAGGUAGAGAGGGUGGGUGUGUACUUGUACCCGGACCAGCCAGAAAACUGUGGUCCUGAGAUUCCAGCAGGACCACAAGGUGGUGAUGCAUUCUUAGUAACUAAGCCCAAAUGUGAUUGAUCAUAAUUGCUCCUGGUUUUCAAUUUAAUUGCUUUGAAAAAUUUACCAUAGAAACUUGGUACAUGUACAUUCCUAGACAUGUACAUUUCUAGGAUAAUAGCUUUUCAUUUUGUUUUGUUUCUGAAAGAAGAACAAGAAGAAUUGUUUGUUGGUGGGUUAGGCAUCCCCCUCCAGGGCGAAUGGGAGGAGGCAAGUGUUCCUAAGGUGGCGAUUGUCAGUUGAACAUGAACAGGCCUCCCCCAGGAGAUCUUUAGGCCUAGGGAGAUGUUGCUACUAGGGCCAUUAGGAGUUCCAGCCAAAAUCUCCAGUAUAGCAAGGUUUUUUGUCAACAUGCCAGAGCUGCUGGACCCUACAGUACCUCCCCUUGCUUAUUGUGUUGGGCUGGCUACUUUGUCUGUCUCCUCUAUAGAGGCCGUAGAGGAACACCAUACCUCAAGUAACUUGUCUUGCAAGGGUUGAAGAAGAAUUGAGACACCACAUACUGAGAUAUUGACUCUUAAGGAUUCCAUUUCAUCAUUGGUAUGAAUUUUUGCUACUGGAAAAUGAUAAGGUACAAGGCAUCUGGUCCCCUCCAAGAAAGUAAGGUGAGGAUGUCAGAAGGCAUUAGUUUCCUCAUUGUUGUUGGAUUUGAUCAAAAAGCUCCAGGCUUGUAGCUGCUAUCUUUCUUCCGUUUUCUUUUCUUGGCCUUCAGUGUUGCAUGCCUUUAACUUCUUCCUUGUCGAACCACAGGUGUGAUGAUAUGCAGCAAGAUUUGUUCCAUACUUAAGAGUGGAGAGACUCCUUCGGGUUCUGGGUGGCACCCUUCAAGCAUCUACUCAUUUGUGUUGCCAAGAUCUCUGUGAACUGCUUUGAUGUAACCCAACUCUCCUGUGGAAGGACUAGGAGUCUAUUCCUUAGUGUGAGUGCUCUUGAUUGCUUGAAAUUGAAUCCUAGUACGAUGACCACACUGCUCUUCUCAUGUCUGAUGGCGUCAUUCUUUUUUCUCUGAUUGCUUUUCCAUAGCAUAUUCACUCCUAUGUUUUUCAUCAUUUUGCCAGUUUGGUGGUGGUGGUCUCAUAUCCCUCUUGAUUUUUUUGUAAUUAUGUGUCCAUCCUUGCACUGUUCCUUGAUAACUGGCACUUCAUAGGGGCCCCUUCCUCCAUUCAAAUGGCAGAUGUUAUUGUAGGCACUGAAGUUGCUGUUACUAACAAAUGUUGUAAAGUGCAUCUGGUACUGAGAUGACUGACCAGAUGUGCAUUGCAGUCUCUGACUCCAUGGCCCCUGCCUUCUCCAUGCAGCCAUGCUGCUUGUUGCUGUAGGUAUUGCAUGUUACGUAAAAGUUUGUAAGAACAUCCAGAUCCAAGACAAACCCAGAGUUCACUUUGACAGCAAAUUUAACGCCAACUUCUGUCCCCGCUUCAUCCAGCUGGCAUAGAAGCUGACAACAUCCAGGAUGCCAUUUUCAUAGGGUACACACUGUAGAUCUUAGGCAUACAGUUCCACCUGUCAGCAGUGACUGUGUCAACUUAAUUCCACUGUAACCCAUGCCCAAAAGAAGGCAUAAGUAUACCUCUUGUAGCUGUGGUGGUGGGGAGUCUGCUGGGACAUUGGUGAAGAGGCACAAGGGCGAUAAGUCGUCAGCUGGCUGCCUCAUCUCUGCUCCCUUCUGUAUCAGUUUCUCCUUGGUUUGGAGAAUCUUGGCUUCUCCUUCCUUGAAGUCAUGAGGUUUAAGAGUUUUGUUCUUGGUCAUAUUUCAGAUGAGAAAACUAGUGAUGCACUCUAAGGUCUAGGGAGGCACUUUGAUGCAAGUAACGAGUAUCCCACAACACACUAUGGGAGAGAUGCCAGAUGUUGAAAUUUACUAAAGAAAAAUCAUUUUAAUUAAAAUUACACAUUGAUACAAGCAUUGAAUGAUAAGUGUGAAUGAGUAAACUUGAAGAGUCCAUGAUGGGAAAUAUUAGCUGUCAGACAAUGGUGUGAAACAUUUAAAAAUAGCAUCUGGGGUAGAAGUGGAUUUAAUAAAAAAAAUUACUUCAUCAAAUGAUAACUUUGGGUUGGAAGGACUGUGUGAGCAAAAAAAAUAAAUUUUGAAGAUAUUCGUGAAAAUUUGCCUCAUCUCCCUGAAGACUUCCUACUCCUCUAGCUAUAGCCAUAACACUCCCACAGCCUCUCCCAUCAUGAACUAUUGAAGCUUACUCACCAGUCGAGUUGCAUGUCCCACUCUUCUUGCAAUCUAGAAAAUAGACGACUUAAAUGCAAUCCUUAAACCCUUGAAAAGUGUCAAGUAUUUCAUAUAUUCCAAAUAAGAGGAAAAUGAUACACAUGUACUAAUGACACACCUACUACUGGAUGUCACAGUAAUAGUUGCUAUGAUAUCAACUAGUAAUAUAUUGAAGCUUCAGCAACAGGUCAUGACUUUAGAACAAAACUGAAAAAAUAAAUAAAAAGAUAACCUGUUAAU